UAGGGCACAGCACAGGUAAAAUAUUUUUAGGAAUACAUGGUUCAGUCUGCUUUCCAACAAACACUGGGAGAUGAAUUUAGAUUUCAGCAGGACAAUAACCUAAAACACAAGGAGUUGCUUAAUAAAACGACAUUGAAUGUUCCUAUGGGGCCUACAGUUUUGACAAAUUGAUUUGAAAAUGACUGUCUAGUAAUGAUCAACAACCAACUUGACAGAGCUUGAAGAAUUUAAAAAAGAAUCAUGUGCAAAUAUCAGAAAGACUCACUGUUGUAAUCACUGCCAAAGGUGAUUCUAAUAUGUAUUGACUCAGGGUGUGAAUACUUAUGUAAAAUAGCUAUUUAUCUAUUUCAUUUUUAAUAAAUACGCAAACAAUUCUCAAAACAUGUUUUCACUGUAAAUAUGGGGGAUUUUGUGUAGAUGGGUGAGAAAAAUAUAUUUAAUCCAUUUUGAAUUCAGGCUGUAACAACAAAAUGUGGAUUAGGUCAAGGGCUAUGAAUACUUUAUGAAGGCACUGUAGCUCCUUUAACACACACAGUACAGACACACAGUAAGGUUAAACACAUCAACAGAGGACCCAUGGCAAUAAUGAUCUUUAAUGGCAAUAUAUACAGAACUUGAAAGAAAAAUAUAAUUUUAUAAAUGAAAUAAAUACAAUAUGGUACAAUUUCCACAAUGUCUUAAAGAGUCAUGGAAAUGAUCUCCACAAUGUCUUAAAGAGUCAUGGAAAUGAACUCCACAAUGUCUUAAAGAGUCAUAGAAAUGAACUCCACAAUGUCUUAAAGAGUCAUAGAAAUGAACUCCACAAUGUCUUAAAGAGUCAUGGAAAUGAUCUGUUUUGUAAUUCAGCUUCUCUGUAAGUCUUUUCCCACAGACAGACACUCUCCUUCCCACGUCUCACCCCCCCCCACAGAAAUAACCCAACAGUACCACCAUCAUCUCCUCCUCAUUGACCAGUUGUUGUUUUUAUGCACAGGAUGCUUGUUUGCUUUUCUACCUUCACGGUCACAGUCACAGUCAGGGAUCAGACAGAGUCUACCUUCACGAUCACAGUCAGGGAUCAGACAGUCUACCUUCAUGGUCACAAUCACAGUCAGGGAUCAGACAGAGUCUACCUUCACAAUCACAGUCAGGGAUCAGACAGAGUCUACCUUCACGAUCACAGUCAGGGAUCAGACAGAGUCUACCUUCACG
ensembl:lncRNA